UCCUGUCUGUAACAGAAAAAAUCCCAGACUUCAGGAAAGAGAACAGCUACACAGUAAAGAGAAAGCAAUUCUGUGCAGUGAGGGAUAUGAGCUUGGGUGAUGAAAAUGUGAUUAGAAAACAAAUCUGACACAGAAGGGCUGUUAAACUACUGAAAUCUGAAUCUCUCUGACUUUUCAAGGUGAACACCUGGUAAGAGCAGCACUACAGAGCAGGAAUCAUCUUCACUAGAAAAAGUUUCAGAUGCUUUGUAAAGUUUGAAAGCAACAAACAACAACAGCUCAUAAUGAAUCUCAUGAAAAAGCUACAAGCCAUCACUUACCACUGAAAAAUGUCCUUGAAGGAGGCUGCUUCCACAGGACUCCAGCUCUAACACACAGGUUCUUAUGCACCAGCAAGUUACAGCUGCACAGCAAGCUGCAGAUACAACAAACAAGAAGUGUCUGCUUAAAUACAAAUGUUUAAUAGUGCAAAUGUCAGCAGUUCAGUGCAGUGAGCGUCUCAUAUCCAGCAGCUGAGUAACAGAGGGAAAAGUCUACUCAAAUUAUCAUAAAAUUUCCACUGAGCCUAGUCCCUUGUGGUCUACUCCUUUCCUAAAAAAAUGAAAAAUCCAACAAUCCAACUGCUCCUACAGGUAUUUAUUUAGUGAUGCAUCUUUAUAUUUUCUUUUUCUUAAGAAAUAUUGACAUGUUCCUCUUGGGCUGCUGUAACAGUGAUACUUUUCUGAGUAUUUAGAUCCUAAUCUUUCCAACAGCCCUUUUGCAAGCAACUAUUUAUGUUAUCAGCAUGUACUGUAUCUUGGCCUGUUUGGAGCUCUGAAAUGCAAACGGAAUGGUAAAUUUUAUAAUUAUUGUUUAGUACUUGGGAUUAUUCAAUUUCCACUGGGCUGCUACAACUUUGUCAAUUAAGAACCUCCUACAACAGCAACUGUCUAGAGAGACACUUAGGAUUUGGUUCAUGUAGCUUUUACUUUACCAUGCUGGUGGGAAGGAGGAAGAGUGCAUGGAGAAGUUUUGGAUUCCAUGAAGAAGUAAUGGCAUUUAUUAGACCAAGUGGUGCAGCUGAAAAAGUAAAAAGGCUGCCAGGCAUAGCAGCUCUUCUUUAGAAUUUACCUUUCCACUCUGUUCACUGGUGAACUGCAGUGAGAGUGGUUCUGCCCCUCUGAAAAUACAUAAAAUAGACUUGGGACUGGCCAAUAUAGAGAAAGGUUUCACCAAGUGCUUUUUGUGUGUUUAAUAUAUAAUGUUUAAUUUCAUGUUCAUAAUAAAUCUGACAAGAAGACAUCCAGUUGUACAAGAACUGUUCCAAGUCUGUAAAUAAGCACGUUUAAACAAGUAUUUGACUGUAGCCUGGCAACACCCUGCUGUCAGACAGGAUCACAGGGAAGAGAGGGACAGUUCUCAGCCCAACAGGCUCAGACCCUUAGGAAGAACCAGAUCUUUGUGCAACCUGCUCAUUCUCAGGAGGCAAUGCCACAGCUGGGAUGUCCUCAUCUGCCCUCUGGCCUUUCAUCUGCUCUUGAUCAGAUAUGUGGAAGACACAAUUACUUCAGCAGCUUACAAGCUAUUGCAUCAUUUGGGGCCAUUCAAUCUCAGGAAGUAAUUAUUAAGAAUUUAAAGACUUAAUUUCAGGUGUCUACUGAGUUACAUAUAGGCACGCUCCCUUUAUUUCAAAGAAGAAUCUACAGAUUUCUUGUCUAGAAGUCACAUCAUAUGUCAGCACACUUGGUAACUAUGCUUUAACAUUAGCCAAGGAACAAGAGCUGAAGUUUUCUCUUAUCCCUAUUGCAACAGUGUCAGAGUAUCCCACCGUGCCCUUCAGCUUCAUGUUAAAAUCCCUGCAUUAACCCAAAGGUGACAGGAGACCCUCCCCAAGCCCCAGGCUCCUGUAACCACGUGCUGAACAUGCCCCACUGCUGCAUCACCUCCCAGGAUGUUAUUUCCUGGGCAAGACAGAAAAAGUGUUCCCUCUGCUGCAGAACCUGUAUGUUCCACAGAGCAACACGCUGGGAUUUGUCAUGAACAACGAGGUCACCUGAUGCUCUUGGGUCACACCAGGCCUACACUAAUUUGUGCACUUACAAGGCCUGUUUUACAACAUAUUAAAACACCUGGGAUAAAAGGAGCACUUGCUCAUCAGUAAGCUGGGAGCCUGUGGGCUACUUCUAAGAGAUUCAAGAAAUAAAGAACUAAUCGAAUUA